GACGAACGUUGGCGGCGUGCUUAAUACAUGCAAGUCAACUGAAGCAGUGGUAGCAAUAUCGCUGUGGAGGUGGCGCACGGGUGAGUAACACGUAGGUAAUCUGCCUUCAGGUCUGGCAUAACUCCGGGAAACCGGGGCUAAUAGCAGAUGAUGCAGCGGCUCGACAUCGAGACAGUUGUUAAAGCUAUGGCGCCUGAAGAUGAGCCUGCGUCUGAUUAGCUAGUUGGCGGGGUAACGGCCCACCAAGGCAACGAUCAGUAGCUGGUCUGAGAGGAUGAUCAGCCACACUGGAACGGAGCCACGGUCCAGACUCCGACGGGAGGCAGCAGUAAGGAAUAUUGCUCAAUGGGAGAAAUCCUGAAGCAGCAACGCCGCGUGAGGGACGAAGGGCCUUUGCUUGUAAACCUCUGUAGUGAGAGAAAAAAAUCCCAAUCUUUGGGACAUGAUGGUAUCUCAAAAGUAAGCCCCGGCUAACUACGUG
rnacentral:rRNA from 1 species